CAGCGAGCGGCGGCGGCGGCGGCGGGAUCAAUGGGGAGAGAAGCGCGCGCGGUGGGGGUGGGGGUGCUCGGCGGCGAGAUGGUGUGGUGGGGGUGCCGCCCUUGCCGUCUCAAGGAAGGCGUGUACGACCGCAUCUUCAUCCGCGGCCAUGAGGAGAGGCACCGGAUCGAAGAGAGUAAGGCCAGGGAAGCGAGGGAGCGCGAGGCUAGGGAUCGUCAGGAGCGUAAGGAGGCGUCAGCAACCCGCCGUCGUGGCCGUCGUGGCCGUCGUAAGCAUUGAGGUUGCAGGCUAAGACUCCAGAUGUGGCCAAGCCGGCAGCGAGAUUUACUGCAGAGGAUAUGAUAGUGUUUGGAAAACAAAAGUAAAUAAUCUUGGUGUUCUACAGUGGUGACAAAACUUGAGAUUUUGUUGGUCUCCCUCGUAUACUAUGAGUAGUAGUGUGGUCCAGUGACUUGUCAUCAAGUUCUUAGAACGUGAACCUUAUCCUACCUGGAAUGGCGGUUGCUUGCUUAUUUGGUAUUGUUGCUUGCUUUUCUGUUGA